GCCUGGGUCGGCUUCUUGACAGCAUCGAGCAGCUGCACGAGCAGGUGACCCAGGAGUGUGCCGAGUACCGUGCCCUGUACGAGAAGAUGGUGCUGCCGCCCCGACGUGGGAUCCAGGGUCAACUGGGCACACGUGCUGGAGCAGAAACAGCAGGAGGUCUGCGCAGGCCAGUAUGGGCCGGGCAUGGCGGAGCUGGAGGAACGGAUCGCGGAGCUCAACAUCCUGCAGAACGAGAUCAACGACCAAGGAGAGCAGCUGCGGAGCCUGGUGGGGCCCGCCCCGUGGGUGAGCCGGGAGGAUGUUACAUCCGGGGCCAGCCCCAGCCCCUGUUUUUCCAGUCAGAGCCGGAGCUAGAUCGGCUGGGCCCUGGGGAUAGGGGUGGGUGGGGUAUGGCUUGCCCAGAUCUUAGGGGGCCGUCUCCCUGCGCCCCACCUCUCACGGGCUUGUUUCUCCCCUUGGUCAAGGCAGGAUGCCGCCACCAUCCGGAGCCAAUACCGAGACCUACUGGUGAGCAGGAGGGAGGGUCGGGCAGGGUGGCUGCAGGUGGGCCUGGGUGGCCGCCCGGACCCUGCCCGGGGCCAGUGUUCCUGAGCGCGGCCCAAUGGCGCCUUUUGCCCCCCACUGUCUCUCUCCCCACCCUGCUGCUGGCGGCGGGUCCUGAGCACAGAGGGCGGCGUCGUGGCGCGGGCAGAGCCUGGGCAGCCUGUACACGCACCUGCAGGGCUGCACGUGGCAGCUGAGCGCCCUGGCGGAGCAGCAGUGCCGCAUCCUGCAGCAGGACUGGAGCGACCUCAUGGCCGACCCUGCGGGCGUGCGGCGGGAAUACGAGGUCGGCUGGCAGAGGUUGGGGCCAGGCGGGGGCGGCCAGGGCCAUUCUGGUCCUCACCGCCGCUCCCCACCCGACUCGCCCCCAGCACUUCAAGCAGCACGAGCUGCUGAGCCAGGAGCAGAGCGUAAACCAGCUGGAGGACGACGGCGAGCACAUGGUGGAGCUGCGGCACCCCGCGGUGGGGCCCAUCCAGGAGCGCUGGGGGCAGGGCGAGAGUGAGAAGGGACGUGGUGGGCGGGGAAGGGGGGGGUGGACGUGGGUGCGGGGGCGGGGCGUGGUCCGAGGGCUCCGUGCUGCCGUACCCAGGCCCACCAGGAGGCCCUGAAGAUGGAGUGGCAGAACUUCCUGAACCUGUGCAUCUGCCAGGAGACCCAGCUGCAGCACGUGGAGGACUACAGCCGGUGAGCCCUCGGGCAGGCGGCAGGGGCGGCAGGGGCGGGAGGUCCCACAGCACUCCUGCCCACAGGAGAGGCACUGCACCUCUCAACUAGACAGAGCUGGCAGGGCGCAGUGGCUCACACCUGUAAUCCCAGCACUUUGGGAGGCCGAGGCUGGCGGAUCACUUGAGGUCAGGAGUUCGAGAUCAUCCUGGCCAACAUGGUGAAACCCUGUCUCUACUAAAAAUACCAAAAUUAGCUAGACGUGGUGGCGCGCGCCUGUAAUCCCAGCUACUCAGGAGGCUGAGGCAGGAGAAUCGCUUGAACCCAGGAGGCGGAGGUUGCAGUGGGCCGAGAUUGGCCCACUGCACUCCAGCCUGGGUGACAAAGAGGGACUCCACCUCAAAAAUAAAAUAAAAUAAAAUAGACCUGUGUGGUUGCCACUCGGUCCCAGAGGGAAGGAAAGGCAUGGGCACAUUCUCAACAGGGUGAAGCGGUUCCCAGGGGGGUGAAAAUUGGUUCUUAAUGGCAGAAAAAUAACUGUUUUUAUGCAUGAAGUACAGAUCCACAUACAGCACCUAAACUGUAUACAGCAUAUCUGUGGUACAAAUAUUUCAUGGGGGCCAGGUGUGGUGGCUCACACCUGUAAUUCCAGCACUUUGGGAGGCCGAGCCAGGAGAAUUGCUUGACCCCAGUAGUUCCAGACCAGCCUGGGCAACAUAGGGAGAUGUUGUUUCUAUAAAAAAUAAAAAUAAAAACUAGCCAGGCAUGGUGGCUCGUGCCUAUUGCUUGAGCCCAGGAUUUUGAGGCUGCAGUGAGCCAUGAUCACACCACUGCACUCCCGCCUGGGUGACAGACUGCGACUCUGUCUUAAAAAAAAAAAAAAUCCUGGUGCAAUACCUCAUGCCUGCAAUCCUACCACUUUGGGAGGCCGAGGCGGGUGGAUCACUUGAGCCCAGGAGUUGGAGACCAGCCUGGGCAACAUGACGAAAUCCCAUCUCUAUAAAAAAUAUACAAAAAUUAUCUGGAUGUAGUGGUGCAUGCCUGUAGUCAGAGCUACUUGGGAGGCUGAGGUGAGAGGAUCACUUGAGCCCAGGAAGUCGAGGCUGCAGUGAGCUGUGGUCACUCCACUGCACUCUAGCCUGGGUGGCAGAGCAAGACCCUGUCUGUUAAAACAGAACAAAAUAGAGCUGGGGCUUCCUUUUCCAGUGGGUGUGGUGCAGGGGGCACUGGGCCUCCCUUGGACCACCCGGUUCUCUGGGGCCCAGCCUCAGCUCUCUGUGGAUGGAUUGGGUGGUGCU
rnacentral:lncRNA from 1 species